rnacentral:rRNA from 1 species
GCCCGCUCAGAAACUUAAAGGAAUUGACGGGGGCCCGCACAAGCGGUGGAGCAUGUGGUUUAAUUCGAUGGUACGCGAGGAACCUUACCAGGGCUUGACAUGUGCCGGAAGCGCACCGAAAGGUGCGUGCCGCUUGCGGCCGGCGCACAGGUGCUGCAUGGCUGUCGUCAGCUCGUGCUGUGAAGUGUUGGGUUAAGUCCCGCAACGAGCGCAACCCCUGCUGCCUGUUGCCACCACGAGAGGUGGGGACUCAGGCGGGACCGCCGGUGACAAACCGGAGGAAGGUGGGGAUGACGUCAAGUCCUCAUGGCCUUUAUGACCAGGGCUACACACGUACUACAAUGGCCGAUACAAAGGGCAGCGACACUGCGAGGUGAAGCCAAUCCCGUAAAAUCGGUCUCAGUCCGGAUUGGAGUCUGCAACUCGACUCCAUGAAGUUGGAAUCGCUAGUAAUCGUGGAUCAGCAUGCCACGGUGAAUACGUUCCCGGGCCUU